GAUGAAGAACGCAGCGAAAUGCGAUAAGUAAUGUGAAUUGCAGAAUUCAGUGAAUCAUCGAAUCUUUGAACGCAUCUUGCGCUCCUUGGUAUUCUGAGGAGCAUGCCUGUUUGAGUGUCAUUAAAUUCUCAACUACACUGACUUUGAAUUGGUGUGGCUUGGAUUUGGGGGGAAAAUUGUUGUGGGCUUUUUGUAUAGUCUGCUCCCCUGAAAUUGAUUAGCGGUACCUUUGUGGAACUGUCUACAGGUGUGAUAAUUAUCUACAUCUUAGACAUCUGCUGGAAUGCUGCUUUCUAAACCUUACUUGUAUUGACAAUCUUGACCUCAAAUCAGGUAGGACUACCCGCUGAACUUCAGCAUAUCAAUAAGCGGAGGA
rnacentral:misc_RNA from 1 species